GGACGCCACACCUACGCCGUGCCAAAGCCAAGCAGCUCCUUAAGCCUCCUAAGAAUCCUGUGUGCCCCGCCUCGGUCCAAAAUUGUUAACGUUGGCCCCAGCUAACUUCUCCAGCCCCAGUACUGAAUGGUCCGCAAUUUUGCAACGAGUCUAGGUCCUUCCUCUGAAGGCAUACCUACCGAUACUGAAAGACUGCAUGCUGCUUUGAACAAGAGGGAUGAUCAAUUGGAAUGUC